GAUGAACGCUGGCGGCGUGCCUAAUACAUGCAAGUCGAGCGAACGGACGAGAAGCUUGCUUCUCUGAUGUUAGCGGCGGACGGGUGAGUAACACGUGGAUAACCUACCUAUAAGACUGGGAUAACUUCGGGAAACCGUAGCUAAUAUCGGAUAAUAUUUUGAACCGCAUGGUUCAAAAGUGAAGGACGGUCUUGCUGUCACUUAUAGAUGGAUCCGCGCUGCAUUAGCUAGUUGGUAAGGUAACGGCUUACCAAGGCAACGAUGCAUAGCCGACCUGAGAGGGUGGUCGGCCACACUGGAACUGAGACACGGUCCAGACUCCUACGGGGGGCAGCAGUAGGGAAUCUUCCGCAAUGGGCGAAAGCCUGACGGAGCAACGCCGCGUGAGUGAUGAAGGUCUUCGGAUCGUAAAACUCUGUUAUUAGGGAAGAACAUAUGUUUAAGUAACUGUGCGGAUCUUGACGGUACCUAGUCAGAAAGCCACGGCUAACUACGUG
rnacentral:rRNA from 1 species